rnacentral:rRNA from 1 species
UACGGAGGGUCCAAGCGUUGUCCGGAAUUAUUGGGUUUAAAGGGUGCGUAGGCGGCCAAAUAAGUCAGAGCUGAAAUCCCGAGGCUUAACCUCGGAACUGGCUUUGAUACUGUUUGGCUUGAAUUUACUAGAGGUUGGCGGAAUUUAUGAUGUAGCGGUGAAAUGCAUAGAUAUCAUAAAGAACACCGAUAGCGAAGGCAGCUAACUGGAGUAAUAUUGACGCUGAGGCACGAAAGCGUGGGUAGCGAACGGG